rnacentral:rRNA from 1 species
AGCGAACGUUAGCGGCGCGCCUAACACAUGCAAGUCGCACGAGAAAGGGCUUCGGCCCCGGUAAAGUGGCGCACGGGUGAGUAACACGUGGGCAACCUGCCCCAACCCUGGGGGAGUAACCUGCCGAAAGGCGGGCUAAUACCGCGUACGAGGGCUCGACUUCGGUCGGGUUCUGAAAAGCAGGCCUCUGAAUUCAAAGGCUUGUGGGGGUUGGGAUGGGCCCCGCGGUCCAUCAGCUAGUUGGUGAGGUAAUGGCUCACCAAGGGCAACGACGGAUAGCUGGUCUGAGAGGAUGAUCAGCCACACUGGAACUGAGACACGGUCCAGACUCCUACGGGAGGCAGCAGUGGGGAAUCUUGCGCAAUGGACGAAAGUCUGACGCAGCGACGCCGCGUGGGUGACGAAGGACCGUCG